rnacentral:rRNA from 1 species
UACGUAUGGGGCAAGCGUUAUCCGGAUUUACUGGGUGUAAAGGGAGCGCAGGCGGCCUGGCAAGUCUGGUGUGAAAUACCGGGGCCCAACCCCGGGGCUGCAUUGGAAACUGCCAGGCUGGAGUGCCGGAGAGGCAGGCGGAAUUCCUAGUGUAGCGGUGAAAUGCGUAGAUAUUAGGAGGAACACCAGUGGCGAAGGCGGCCUGCUGGACGGUGACUGACGCUGAGGCUCGAAAGCGUG